rnacentral:rRNA from 1 species
GACGAACGCUGGCGGCGUGCCUAACACAUGCAAGUCGAGCGAGGAACUUCGGUUCCUAGCGGCGGACGGGUGAGUAACACGUGGGUAACCUGCCUCAUAGUGGGGGAUAGCCCUCCGAAAGGAGGAUUAAUACCGCAUAAGAAGUAAGAAUCGCAUGAUUCUAGCUUUAAAGGAGUAAUCCGCUAUGAGAUGGACCCGCGGCGCAUUAGCUAGUUGGUGAGGUAACGGCUCACCAAGGCCACGAUGCGUAGCCGACCUGAGAGGGUGAUCGGCCACAUUGGAACUGAGAUACGGUCCAGACUCCUACGGGAGGCAGCAGUGGGGAAUAUUGCACAAUGGGCGAAAGCCUGAUGCAGCAACGCCGCGUGAGUGAUGAAGGCCUUCGGGUUGUAAAGCUCUGUCUUUUGGGACGAUAAUGACGGUACCAAAGGAGGAAGCCACGGCUAACUCCGUGCCAGCCGCCGCAGUAAAAC